UCAAUGGCUUUUAUUAAAGCCACUACAAAAAUUGAUAAGUUAUAU
rfam:Soboliphyme baturini genome assembly, scaffold: SBAD_contig0000357